CAGAAAUUUUUUUUGUGCCGCCUAAUUUGGUGGACCCGGGGGCAGUCGCACCGGUUGUCCCCCCAUUGAAGCCGGCACUGCACCUCUUCCACUUCUUCUCCGCCAAAAUCUCUACUAUCUGUAUCUAUAAAAUCUUUCGAUGGUUUUCUCAUCUUUUCACAUCGAUUACUCUCGACAAUCAGGAAAAAGAGUUAAGAGACGAAGAUUGAAGAUUCUCAUUAUCAACAAGUGGGUAAACGUGAGACAAUGACAAAUGUUGUUUUCAAAGAAAUAUUUAUAAAUCUGCAAGGUUAUGGAAGUUAGCAGUUCCCUAACUAUGACAACUAGAAUAGAAAUUGUGGAUGCAGCGGAUAACACAUGAUCAUGAUGAACCUUUUGUAUUUUCUCUAUAUUGUUCUCUGAUUUUUCUAUAUGCACCAGCAUCAUUAUAUCGAUGUUGUGAUUACUUAGGUGUUUAUGUUUAAGUUUGAUGAAAUACAGAAAUAUUGCCAAUAAAGCUUUAUGUAGCUUACUUC